CAUUAAUGAAUCUUCUAAAGUCGGCUUGUCAUCUGUGCUGGUGGCACCACAAUGUGCACGUUGACAAGUUGCAAAUCUCACACACCUUGUGCACCCAUGACUCUGAGUACCGCUUUGCAUGGGCCCCCUUAAAGGGCCCUGGUACUCGAGUACUUUACAACACACUCUGAAUGUAAUGGAAUGUCUAUUUGUACAACUAAAACAACUUUCAACAACGGAUCUCUUGGCUCUCGCAUCGAUGAAGAACGCAGCGAAAUGCGAUAAGUAAUGUGAAUUGCAGAAUUCAGUGAAUCAUCGAGUCUUUGAACGCACCUUGCACCCCUUGGUAUCCCAAAGGGUACACCCGUUUGAGUGUCAUUGUAAUCUCACCUCUUUGGCUUUUUGUCAAUCAGUGUGGACUUGGAUGCUGUCGUGUAACAAACGGCUCGUCUGAAAUGCCUGAGUGUACCCUGCUUUGCAGCGUAUUCGGUGUGAUAAACAUCUUCACCGGAGUUGACUUUCGGGUCGCGCUUGUACUGAUUGGCUCUAUGCUUCUAACCGUCCUGACAAGGCCAUCUUUGACAAUUUGACCUCAAAUCGGGUGGGACUACCCGCUGAACUU
rnacentral:rRNA from 1 species